CUUGGUUCAGGACGAACGGCUGGCGGCGUGCCUAAUACAUGCAAGUCGAACGGUCUUUCUAUGGAAGCUUGCUUCCACUGAGAAGAUAGUGGCGAACGGGGUGAGGUAACACGUGGGUAACCUGCCCAUAAGAGGGGGGAUAACAUCCGGAAACGGGUGCUAAUACCGCAUAGUUUUCUUGAUCGCAUGAUCGGGAAAGGAAAGACGGCCUUUGUGCUGUCGCUUAUGGAUGGACCCGCGGCGUAUUAGUUAGUUGGUGAGGUAAUGGCUCACCAAGACGAUGAUACGUAGCCGACCUGAGAGGGUGAUCGGCCACAUUGGGACUGAGACACGGCCCAAACUCCUACGGGAGGCAGCAGUAGGGAAUCUUCCGCAAUGGACGAAAGUCUGACGGAGCAACGCCGCGUGAGUGAAGAAAGGUUUUCGGAUCGUAAAACUCUGUUGUCAGAGAAGAACAAGUUGGAGAGUAACUGCUCCAGCCUUGACGGUAUCUGACCAGAAAGCCACGGCUAACUACGUGCCAGCCGCUGC
rnacentral:rRNA from 1 species